rnacentral:lncRNA from 1 species
CGCCCGCGUAGCUGGAACUACAGGCGCCCACCACCUCGCCCAGCUAGAUUUUUCUGUUUUUAGUAGAGACAGGGUUUCACCAUGUUAGCCAGGAUGUUCUCAAUCUCCUGACCUCGUAAUCUGCCCGCCUUGGCCUCCCAAAGUGCUGGGAUUACAGGCGUGAGCCACCGCGCCCGGCCACAAAAAGUCUUUUUUAAAACAGAUGGGUAGUUGAGGCUUAGAGUGGUUAAGUGACUUAUAGUCUGGGUUCAUGGGCUUUCUACCACACUUCAUUGUUUCUAGAGAAAAUCAUAAAACUAUUACCAAGGCUCAGUUUUCUUCUGUGAGCUCAAUUUCUGUUUUCUUUCCUUGAUUUCAGUUUCCCUCUUUAAGGAAGAAAGGAAAGUGUUUUCCUGGAUACUAGAUAUGCUGAGUUGGGACAGGAGCUAAGGAUAGAGGUGAGGAAACCCGCAGACAACAGCGACAUGCUCCUCAUCUUUGAGUCCCAGCGAACCUUUCCACUGUGUGUGUGUGCUGGAAUGCAGUUAACUGAUCACCUGCAGGCUUGAACUCCAGGGUUCAAGCGAUCCUCCUACUUCAGCCUCCUGAGCAGCUAAGGACUACAGCACAUUAUGUUCCUGAAAACCAGGAACUGCUUCCUGUCUGACCCACUGCAGUGGUGGAGAGGAUCAAGGGAAAUAAUGAUCAUGGAUGUGCUUAGGAGACGUAAGAUUUUACUAAGAAUUGCUGUGAGCUGGGCACCCUUCUACGCUCUGCAGACACCAUGGCUAGUAAGACAGGCAAAGACCUGCCAUCUGGAGCUUGUUUGGAUAUAGGGUAGGGGGACGGGGAGAAGGGAGAUAAACAAUAAACAAGUAAAUUUACACUCUUUUAUUGUGAAUCAUCCUUUCACUGGUCUUGUCUUAACUCCAUGAACACAGCGACAGUGUCCUAUGUGUUUUCUAUUUAUUUGUAUUCUCUGCCUACUUUCCAAUAAAUGUCUUAGAUAAGCUGCUAUAUCAAUGCAGAUUAAGUCAUACUAACUUCUUGUAGCAUCUUAAUUAAAUGGGCUCUCUGGAGUCAGACUUCUAGGUUCAAAAUCCAGCUUCAUGACUUAUUAUUUAUUUAUUUUUAAUAAAAACUAUUUUUAAUAAACAUCAUAUUUACAACAUGACGUUUUGAUAUACAUAUACAUAGUGAAAUGAUUAUUCCAGUUAAACAAAUUAAUAUAUCCAUCUCCUCAUACAGUUACCGCUAUUUUUGUGUAUGUGGUGAGAGCACUUGAAAUCUCUUCUCUUAGAAAAUUUCCAGUAUUCGGCUGGGCGCGGUGGCUCACGCCUGUAAUCCCAGCACUUUGGGAGGCUGAGGCGGGUGGAUCACCUGAGGUCAGGAGUUCGAGACCAGCCUGGCCAACGUGGUGAAACCCGGUCUCUACAAAAAAUACAAAAAUUGUCCGGGCAUGGUUAGUGGCACACGCCUGUAAUCCCAGCUACUCGGGAGGCUGAGGCAGAAUUGCUUGAGCCAGGGAGACGGAGGUUGCAGUGAGCCGAGACUGUGCCACUGUACUCCAGCCUGGCCAACAGAGAAAGACUCAGUCUCCAAAAAAAAAAAAAAAAGAAAAUUUCCGGUAUCCAAUACAAUAUUAUUAACUCUACAGUAGCCCUCCCUUAUCUGUAUUUUGGUUAUUCUGGUUUUGCUUACUGAGGUUUCAGUUACUCUUGGUCAACCAUGGUCAGAA